GGGCAUUGUGCUUGCCCAUCAGCAGCAAGAACUGAAGCUGUCCAAGUGCCAAGUGGCUGUGCCUAAAGGUUUUACUUUCCUCCGAAGCUUGACUACAACUGAGUUUGCACAGAGAACCCCACAGGGAGAGAAAGUUGAGCCUCAGAGAAGGGCUGUUGGUCAGAGGUAACCAACUGCUAUUAUCUGCAGGGUAAAGGCUACAGGCACUUCCUGUGUGUAUGACAGACAGCUCUAUUUGGAGGUUCUCGAUAAACAACUAGCCAAGGGAACUUUCCCUGGAAAGCAUAACUGGCCAGCACUUGGACUUCCUGCUGGGAACUUCCCUCUUGCUUGACUUUGUGAAGUCCUUGUGGAAGCUCAAGAGCUCUGCUUGCCCUGAUUCCACCAUGGAAGUCAGCAGAAGUUUCUUUGGCCAGGUCUGUCAUCUUAGAACACUGGCAGGCACUGAGACUAAGAUCAAGUUCAGUCAAAAGAACUUUCUUUUCUAGGACUUUGAUGUGAAGAUAGAAUGAGUUUACCGUUCCUUCCCAUUACUGAAAGGAUACUCAACAUAGACUGUCUGGGUUCCUGUUUCCUGUCUGUUGACAGGUCAGGUUCUUGAACUUCCUCUUAAUUCUGAGUGCUUUCCUAUGCUCUUCCAAUAGUUUCCCUUUUCUCAAGUGGUCCCAACUCUGUUUCAGUUGUUUGUUCUCCCGCCCCCCCCGCCCCCAAAAGUGUUGGGUACCAGUUGAGCAGGAAACUGAGGGAACUAUGGUGAUUAAAUUGGCCAACUGGGUUAUGAAAGGACAGAAGGAGGAGAGAACACGGGUUGGAGAUCGCUGGGAAGCAGGGAAACACUGUGCAGCUGGUGUGACAGUAGCAAGAGAGCCAGGUACAGGUCACCAGGGCUACAGCACAAGUGAGACAGACUAGGCCCCAGAGACACAGUAUGAUGAGUGACAAUCCCAAAGAAUGUUCGUACUUCCUGACAGGUUCAGGGCUGUGGACUGACACUGGUAUAUCCUGAAACAGCUUCCAUACCACAGAAAACACUACCAGGAGAUGAAAGAGUCUUUUACCUCCUUCUUCAAAAUCAAUGCUUAAAAUAAAACAAUUAGAUUAUAGAUCACAAAGUAAUGUGCUGGAACAUUCUGAAGAAGUACAAAGCUUUUCUCUUGUCUCUUGCCAUGUGCUCACCUUUUCCACUGACUUGCCUGUACAAGGAAAUUAGGCUUACCAGUUUCAUUUUGCUUAUGGUUGAUUUUACGGGCCUAACUCAUCAUUAGGACUCUUUCCAUCUGAAUUCACGGACUCAAAACCCUUCCAUGAGUCUUACUUUCAUAAAUUCACUUGGAAUGAGCUCAUGUUAAAUUUUAUACAAUGUCAUUUUAAAAACCUAAAGUUAAAACCUAAAAUAAAAUUAUAUCUUCCAUUGAAGUUUUACUAAAAAUAAUUUUCUGGAUUAAUAAAUACUACCAGACCCAUGUUAUCUCAUUUGUCUGUAACUCAAAUUUGUAAGCAAACAAAUAAAUGGGAAGUAGUACACAUUUACCUGUCUAAUCAUACCUGAAUAGGGACUCUCUUGAUAGCCAAAUUUCAUUCUGUUUCACAGUUUUCCAAGAGAAAAGCAACAGCAGCAACACUGUGGACACAAUUAGGGUGGUGGCCCCACAUCGAUUUAGCCAAGUGCAGAGCUUGCUCAAUCCAUGCACAAAAAGGAUGCAGUAUCCCAUGCUGGAAAACAAGGUGGAA